rnacentral:lncRNA from 1 species
UUCCAGGUGGCGACCUUCGGAUAUGACUUUGAAUACGCAAAUAGACUAGGAAAGUGCAAGAAUGGCACUUGCAUACCCGACGAAAUAUCACGUGGAUGCGCAGGAGAGACACGUGAGAAUAGAACAAAGUCUACGGAGCUCGGGUGCACGUUUCUCUGCCGCAAUAAAUCAACAGAUAAGUUGGAAUAUGGCUUUUACCCAGUAGGAUCAUUCUGCCUGCAUUAUAACAACGUAACGGUCAUCAACUCCACUUGUAAAAGAUCAGGAGAAAACGUGAUUUGCCGUGAAAAAGUGGACACUGUUCCGGCUUGUUAACAGUACGCCAUCAUUACGCCAAGUGUUUACCGUGGUUGUAUAAAUAAACGGUUCUUGAUAUA